UUCCGGUUGAUCCUGCCGGAGSCAUUGCUAUUGGAGUCCGAUUUAGCCAUGCUAGUUGCACGAGUUUAGACUCGUAGCAGAUAGCUCAGUAACACGUGGCCAAACUACCCUCUKGAGCGCGACAACCUCGGGAAACUGAGGCUAAUCGUGCAUACCGCUCUCACGCUGGAAGUUGCGGAGAGCUCGAAACGCCCCGGCGCCAGAGGAUGUGGCUGCGGCCGAUUAGGUAGACGGUGGGGUAACGGCCCACCGUGCCAGUAAUCGGUACGGGUUGUGAGAGCAAGAGCCCGGAGACGGUAUCUGAGACAAGAUACCGGGCCCUACGGGGCGCAGCAGGCGCGAAACCUUUACACUGCACGCCAGUGCGAUAAGGGGACUCCAAGUGCGAKGGCAUAGAGCCCUCGCUUUUCUGUACCGUAAGGUGGGUACAAGAAUAAGUGCUGGGCAAGACCGGUGCCAGCCGCCGCGGUAAUACCGGCAGCACGAGUGAUGGCCGCUCUUAUUGGGCCUAAAGCGUCCGUAGCUGGCCGCGCAAGUCCAUCGGGAAAUCCGCACGCCUAACGUGCGGGCGUCCGGUGGAAACUGCGUGGCUUGGGACCGGAAGAUCCAGAGGGUACGUCCGGUGUAGGAGUGAAAUCCUGCAAUCCUGGACGGACCACCGGUGGCGAAAGCGCUCUUGAAAGACGGAUCCGACGGUGAGGGACGAAAGCUCGGGUCACGAACCGGAUUAGAUACCCGGGUAGUCCGAGCUGUAAACGAUGUCUUCUAGGUGUGCAAAGGCUACGAGSCUUUGGUGGU
rnacentral:rRNA from 1 species